GUAUAUAAGAAGUCUAGCGCA
rnacentral:siRNA from 1 species